rnacentral:rRNA from 1 species
GCGCUGAGAGAUCAGCGAGUGGCGGACGGGUGAGUAACACGUGGGUAACCUGGCCUUUGGUGAGGAAUACCGGCGAGAAAUCGUCGACAAGACCGCAUGAGCUUCCUUCGGGAAGCAAAGCUCCGCAAGGGGCGCCAGAGGAUGGGCCUGCGGCCGAUUAGCUGGUUGGUAGGGUAAUGGCCUACCAAGGCGACGAUCGGUAGCUGGUCUGAGAGGAUGAUCAGCCACACUGGGAUUGAGAACGGCCCAGACUCCUACGGGAGGCAGCAGUGAGGAAUUUUCGGCAAUGGGCGCAAGCCUGACCGAGCAACGCCGCGUGCAGGAAGAAGGUCUUCGGA